rnacentral:rRNA from 1 species
UGGGGAAUAUUGCGCAAUGGGGGAAACCCUGACGCAGCAAUACCGCGUGAGUGAAGAAGGUUUUCGGAUCGUAAAGCUCUGUUAUUGGGGAAGAAAAAAGACGGUACCCAAGAAGAAAGUCCCGGCUAACUACGUGCCAGCAGCCGCGGUAAUACGUAGGGGACAAGCGUUGUCCGGAUUUACUGGGCGUAAAGGGCACGCAGGCGGUUUUUUAAGUCAGAUGUGAAAGGUACCGGCUCAACCGGUGACAUGCAUUUGAAACUGAAAGACUUGAGUAUUGGAGAGGCAAGUGGAAUUCCUAGUGUAGCGGUGAAAUGCGUAGAUAUUAGGAGGAACACCGGUGGCGAAGGCGGCUUGCUGGACAAAUACUGACGCUGAGGUGCGAAAGCGUGGGGAGCAAACA